rnacentral:rRNA from 1 species
GACGAACGCUGGCGGCGCGCCUAACACAUGCAAGUCGAACGAGCGAGAGAGAGCUUGCUUUCUCGAGCGAGUGGCGAACGGGUGAGUAACGCGUGAGGAACCUGCCUCAAAGAGGGGGACAACAGUUGGAAACGACUGCUAAUACCGCAUAAGCCCACGGCUCGGCAUCGAGCAGAGGGAAAAGGAGCAAUCCGCUUUGAGAUGGCCUCGCGUCCGAUUAGCUAGUUGGUGAGGUAACGGCCCACCAAGGCGACGAUCGGUAGCCGGACUGAGAGGUUGAACGGCCACAUUGGGACUGAGACACGGCCCAGACUCCUACGGGAGGCAGCAGUGGGGAAUAUUGCACAAUGGGGGAAACCCUGAUGCAGCGACGCCGCGUGGAGGAAGAAGGUCUUCGGAUUGUAAACUCCUGUUGUUGGGGAAGAUAAUGACGGUACCCAACAAGGAAGUGACGGCUAACUACGUGCCAGCAGCCGCGGUAAAACGUAGGUCACAAGCGUUGUCCGGAAUUACUGGGUGUAAAGGGAGCGCAGGCGGGAAGACAAGUUGGAAGUGAAAUCUAUGGGCUCAACCCAUAAACUGCUUUCAAAACUGUUUUUCUUGAGUAGUGCAGAGGUAGGCGGAAUUCCCGGUGUAGCGGUGGAAUGCGUAGAUAUCGGGAGGAACACCAGUGGCGAAGGCGGCCUACUGGGCACCAACUGACGCUGA